ACUGCUGGACAGACCAUGGUCCUCUGUGGGCAUCUUACUAGACAGUGCUGGAUUUUUUGGAUCUACUCUAACACUGUCUGGUAACGAUGUUUAAAGGGUGAACCAAACACCACCAUGCAUC
rnacentral:pre_miRNA from 10 species